rnacentral:rRNA from 1 species
UCAGGCCUAACACAUGCAAGUCGAACGGCAGCGCGGGUGCUUGCACCUGGCGGCGAGUGGCGAACGGGUGAGUAAUAUAUCGGAACGUGCCCUAGAGUGGGGGAUAACGUAGCGAAAGUUACGCUAAUACCGCAUACGAUCUACGGAUGAAAGUGGGGGAUUGCAAGACCUCAUGCUCCUGGAGCGGCCGAUAUCUGAUUAGCUAGUUGGUGGGGUAAAAGCCUACCAAGGCGACGAUCAGUAGCUGGUCUGAGAGGACGACCAGCCACACUGGGACUGAGACACGGCCCAGACUCCUACGGGAGGCAGCAGUGGGGAAUUUUGGACAAUGGGGGCAACCCUGAUCCAACAGUGCCGCGUGAGUGAAGAAGGCCUUCGGGUUGAAAGAUAGGGGUCAGGGAAGAA